rnacentral:snRNA from 1 species
GUUCUCGCUUUGGCAGCACACAUACUAAAACUGGAACCAUACAGAGAAGAUUAGCAUGGGCCCUGUGCAAGGAUGACACACAAAUUCAUUAAGCGUUUCAUAUUUUU